rnacentral:pre_miRNA from 1 species
CAAAUACUCCCUCCGUCCGAAAAUACUUGUCAUCAAAAUGGAUAAAAGGAAAUGUAUCUAGACCUAUUUUAGUUUUAGAUACAUCUAUUUUUAUCCAUUUUGAUGACAAGUAUUUUCGGACGGAGGGAGUAGAAA